GUACACGACGAUGAUCUGAUCUCUUACAUCAUCGCCAACCUCGACAAUGAAUAUGAACCAGUUGUGUUCUCUCUCAUUGGUGAAGCCUUUGCUCAGCUCUUAAGCUUUGAGU
rnacentral:snoRNA from 1 species